UUAGAGUUUGAUCCUGGCUCAGGAUGAACGCUAGCGGCAGGCUUAACACAUGCAAGUCGCGGGGCAGCGGGGGAGAAGCUUGCUUCUCCCGCCGGCGACCGGCGCACGGGUGAGUAACACGUAUGCAACCUGCCCUUGUCAGGGGGACAACCCAGCGAAAGUUGGGCUAAUCCCGCGUAUAUCCCAAGGGGGCAUCCCCUUGGGAGGAAAGCUUAGGCGGACAAGGAUGGGCAUGCGGCGCAUUAGGCAGUAGGCGGGGUAACGGCCCACCUAACCGACGAUGCGUAGGGGUUCUGAGAGGAAGGCCCCCCACACUGGUACUGAGACACGGACCAGACUCCUACGGGAGGCAGCAGUGAGGAAGAUUGGUCAAUGGCCGAGAGGCUGAACCAGCCAAGCCGCGUGAGGGAAGAAGGCCCUACGGGUCGUAAACCUCUUUUGUCAGGGAACAAAAACCGGUACGAGUACCGGGUUGAGUGUACCUGAAGAAAAAGCAUCGGCUAACUCCGUGCCAGCAGCCGCGGUAAUACGGAGGAUGCGAGCGUUAUCCGGAUUUAUUGGGUUUAAAGGGUGCGUAGGCGGACUUUUAAGUCAGCGGUGAAAGCCCGGGGCUCAACCCCGGCGAGCCGUUGAAACUGGAGGUCUUGAGUUGGAGAGAGGUAAGCGGAAUGCGUGGUGUAGCGGUGAAAUGCAUAGAUAUCACGCAGAACUCCGAUUGCGAAGGCAGCGUACGGCAGCGUAACUGACGCUGAAGCUCGAAGGUGCGGGUAUCGAACAGGAUUAGAUACCCUGGUAGUCCGCACGGUAAACGAUGGAUGCCCGCUGUUGGCGAUAUAUUGUCAGCGGCCAAGCGAAAGCGUUAAGCAUCCCACCUGGGGAGUACGCCGGCAACGGUGAAACUCAAAGGAAUUGACGGGGGCCCGCACAAGCGGAGGAACAUGUGGUUUAAUUCGAUGAUACGCGAGGAACCUUACCCGGGCUCAAACGACGGAUGAAUACUUUUGAAAGGAGGUAGUCCUUCGGGACAUCCGUCGAGGUGCUGCAUGGUUGUCGUCAGCUCGUGCCGUGAGGUGUCGGCUUAAGUGCCAUAACGAGCGCAACCCCCAUCGCCAGUUGCCAACAGGUAAAGCUGGGAACUCUGGCGAGACUGCCGGCGCAAGCUGUGAGGAAGGCGGGGAUGACGUCAAAUCAGCACGGCCCUUACGUCCGGGGCGACACACGUGUUACAAUGGCAGGUACAGAGAGAUGCGACACGGCGACGUGGAGCGGAACUGUCAAAACCUGUCUCAGUUCGGAUCGGAGUCUGCAACCCGACUCCGUGAAGCUGGAUUCGCUAGUAAUCGCGCAUCAGCCAUGGCGCGGUGAAUACGUUCCCGGGCCUUGCACACACCGCCCGUCA
rnacentral:rRNA from 1 species